rnacentral:rRNA from 1 species
ACAGGCUUAACACAUGCAAGUCGAGGGGUAGCAGGGUAGCAAUACCGCUGACGACCGGCGCACGGGUGAGUAACACGUAUCCAACCUUCCCAUAACUCGGGGAUAGCCUUUCGAAAGAAAGAUUAAUACCCGAUAGUACUUAUAUAAGGCAUUUUAAAUAAGUUAAAGAUUUAUUGGUUAUGGAUGGGGAUGCGUUCCAUUAGAUAGUUGGUGAGGUAACGGCUCACCAAGUCUUCGAUGGAUAGGGGUUCUGAGAGGAAGGUCCCCCACAUUGGUACUGAGACACGGACCAAACUCCUACGGGAGGCGGCAGUGAGGAAUAUUGGUCAAUGGGCGAGAGCCUGAACCAGCCAAGUAGCGUGAAGGAUGACGG